CCCAGGUUUUCAACAUGGACUGGAGCUGGAUCAUGCUCUACCUGGUGUCUGUGGCUACACGAGUCCAUUCUCAGGCUCAUCUACAACAGUCUGGGGCUGAACUGAAGGCUCCUGGAGCUUCAGUAAAGGUGACCUGCAAGGAUUUUGACUCAUACGUCUUCCCCAUUGCCUAUAUGAGUUGGGUGAGGCAGAAGCCUGGACAUGGGCUUGAGUGGAUUGGAAACAUACUCCCAAGCAUUGGUAGAACUAACUAUGGACAAACGUUUGAGGACAGAGUCACACUGACUUCAGACACAGGAUCCAACACAGCCUACAUGGAACUGAGAAGCCUGAUGUUUGAGGACAGUGCCACCUAUUACUGUGCAAGGCACAGUGACACAGCACACAUCUAG